rnacentral:rRNA from 1 species
CCUACGGGUGGCAGCAGUGAGGAAUAUUGGUCAAUGGGCGAGAGCCUGAACCAGCUAAGUCGCGUGAGGGAGUACUGCCCUAUGGGUUGUAAACCUCUUUUGUCGGGGAGCAAAAGCCGGACGUGUCCGGCUGUGAGAGUACCCGAAGAAAAAGCAUCGGCUAACUCCGUGCAAGCAGCCGCGGUAAUACGGAGGAUGCGAGCGUUAUCCGGAUUUAUUGGGUUUAAAGGGUGCGCAGGCGGAUUUUUAAGUCAGCGGUAAAAUCGUGGGGCUCAACCCCAUCCAGCCGUUGAGACUGGUGAUCUAGAGUGUGCGAGAGGUAUGCGGAAUGCGUGGUGUAGCGGUGAAAUGCAUAGAUAUCACGCAGAACCCCGAUUGCGAAGGCAGCAUACCGGUGCACAACUGACGCUCAGGCACGAAAGCGUGGGUAUCGAACAGGAUUAGAUACCCCGGUAGUC